GAUGAACGCUGGCGGCAUGCCUAACACAUGCAAGUCGAGCGAACACACGGGGAGCUUUCUCCUCUGCCGUUGGCGACGGACGGGCGAGUCAUACGUAGAUACCUUACCUAUAAGACUGGGAUCACUACGGGAAACCGCAUCCCCUACCAGCUAAUACAUCGAACCGUAUGGUUCAUCGGAGCUUGACGCCUUUGCUGCCACUUAUAGAUGUAUCCGCGUCGCAUUAGCUAGUUGGUAAGGUAACAGCUUACCAAGGCGACGAUGCGUAGCCGAUCUGAGAGGGUGAUCAGCCACACUGGAACUGAGACACGGUCCAGACUCCUACGGGAGGCAGCAGUGGGGAAUCUUACACAAUGGGCGAAAGCCUGAUGAAGCAACGCCGCGUGAGUGAUGAAGGUCUUCGGAUCGUAAAACACUGUUAUUGGGAAAGAAGAAAUGUGAAGUAAUAUAUCGCUGUUUUGACGGUACCUAAAGAGUAAGCCACGGCUAACUUCGUG
rnacentral:rRNA from 1 species